rnacentral:rRNA from 1 species
CCUACGGGUGGCAGCAGUAGGGAAUCUUCCACAAUGGGCGCAAGCCUGAUGGAGCAACACCGCGUGAGUGAAGAAGGUUUUCGGCUCGUAAAGCUCUGUUGUUGGAGAAGAACGUUCGUGUGAGUAACUGAUCACCCCCUGACGGUAUCUAACCAGACAGCCCCGGCUAACUACGUGCCAGCAGCCGCGGUAAUCCGUAGGUGGCAAGCGUUAUCCGGAUUUCUUGGGCGUAAAGCGAGCGCAGGCGGUUGCUUAAGUCUGAUGUGAAAGCCUUCGGCUUAACCGGAGAAGGGCAUCGGAAACGGGGAGACUUGAGUGCAGAAGAGGAGAGUGGAACUCCAUGUGUAGCGGUGGAAUGCGUAGAUAUAGGGAGGAACACCUGUGGCGAAGGCGGCUGGCUGGUCUGCAACUGACGCUGAGGCUCGAAAGCAUGGGGAGCAAACAGGAUUAGAUACCCCUGUAGUC